AUGGACUUAACAAAGGACUUCUCAGCGGCAGAAAUUAGUGACGCCUUAUUCCAAAUAGGACCUCUUAAGGCCCCAGGGCCGGACGGAUUUCCAGCAAGGUUUUAUCAAAGAAAUUGGGAAAUCCUUAAAAGCGAUGUCAUUGAGGGCGUGCUGAGUUUCUUUGAGAGUGGUCAGUUUCCAGAAGGAAUCAAUGACACGGUAAUUGUGCUCAUCCCUAAAGGGGAAGACCCGCAAUCAAUCAAAGAUUACCGACCCAUCAGCCUCUACAACAUAUUGUAUAAGGUGAUCUCCAAGUGUCUAGUGAAUCGGCUUCGACCCCUACUGGACGGUAUCAUUUCAGAGACGUAGAGUGCAUUCAUCCCAGGAAGACCGAUCAUUGACAACGCCACCAUUGCUUUUGAAUGCUUUCAUAAGAUUCAGCAUAGCAAGAACAUCCACAACACACAUUGCGCAUAUAAGCUAGAUCUGGCAAAAGCUUAUGAGAGGGUGGAUUGGCUAUUCCUUGAGGAGGUCCUUUUAAAAACCGGAUUUGAUAAGAAGUGGACAAAUUGGGUGAUGCAGUGUGUGUGUUCAGUCAGAUACUCGGUCAGAUGUAAUGGAGAACUCUUGGAACUGUUUUCACCUUCCAGAGGACUCCGACAGGGUGAUCCCCUCAGCCCGUAUUUAUUCCUUUUGUGGCAGAUGGGUUGGUAA
rnacentral:rRNA from 1 species